AGCUGCUUGCUGUCAUCCUCGUUGUUGGGAAGACCAGGCUUUUCCAUUUAGCAACCAAUCCAGGAACUAGAUUUCACCACACUAACCACAUCUUCCUUCUCUGUGUCAUACUUGUAUGUUUUUGGUCCUGAAAAGAAGUAAAUGUAGCCUAAAAGGGACAAAGUUGAAAAUGUGGUUACUGAAGAUGACCAGCAAAAUGAUAAAUGGAAUUUGUAAUUGUCACUUUCCUAAGGUGUCAUCAAAGGGGAAUUGCGAAUUUGUCAGGCGGCAGUUAGCUUGUCUUCUGCAUGGCUCCACCCUACCCUAGAACCCAACUCCUCAACUUCCCAGUCAUUUCUGAGCUUUCUCCUUGUUCCAGCCAGGGUAAGGCCUUCUACCUGGGGUCAUCCAAUGUGCCAUGCUCAGUCAUGUGCUGUGCUUCUAAGGCUGUUCUCCUCCAGGAAGCCCCCCGACUUUUCUUUCUCUGGUGAAGCCUCUGGCCAGUCUUUAAAACCCAUCUAAAGUCUACUAUAACCUUUCCAAUGACUGCUGCUGAUUCUGAUCUUUUAUUUCUCAGCUCAGCUCUUGCAAUUAUUGUGAAGUCUACUACAUGACUCAAUAAGAAAUGAUAGAUUAUCUGUUUUCCAGUCAUUUCAUCUGUGUUGGAUGAACCGUUUCAUGAGAGCAGAGGCCACAUCUGGAAUGGUCCUUGCACUUCUGAACAGUGUCCAGCCCUGUGCUAUUUUUUCAAGAAUAUGCUAACUGAUUGAUCAGAAGAUUCAAUUAAAUUUAUUCAACAAAAUUCUAUUCAACUUUCCUAGCUAUGUGUUAAAUUGUAGGAGAUGGAAGGUUGUGACUCUUUUAUUUUUUUGAGAGAGAGUAUCAUCACUGUUGUCCAGGCUAGAGUGCAGUGGCACAAUCACAGCUCACUGCAGCCUCAACCUCCUGGGCUCAAGUGAUCCUCACUCCCAGCAUUCUGAGUAGCUGGGACUAUAGGCGUGUGCCACCAUGCCCAGCUAAUUUUUUUUGUAGAGAGAGGGUUUCACCAUAUUGCAGGCUGGUCUUAAACUCCUGAACUGAAGAGAUCCUACCAUCUCGGCCUCCCAAAGUGCUGGGAUGACAGGUGUGAGCCACUGCGCCUGGCCAAGACUGUGUGUAUUUUAAAGAUAGAAAAGGUAAUAUCGACCCAGGUAGACUUUAUGAUCUAGCUGACUAAUUGAUUGAAGCUAUAGUUUAAAAACUUUCUAUUAGGAAAGAGAGAACUACAAUACCAGACCUUUUAUAGUUACUCUUUCUAGUGGAUAAUCUGGUUAGCUAAACUUAUGAAAGGACCUAGGACCGAAUACAAGAACCAAUGACUCCCACUUGGAAACCCAUUUUCUGUUGUGUUAAAGCAGAGCUCAGAUUUCGUAUGAACGUUUUCAGUGGAAACACUCACCGUUUAAUUCCACAGCAGCAUCGAUCUGGCCGUUGACUCCUGAAAAUUCUUCUUCAGUAUUCUUUGGAUAGUCUUUUUCCAUUUUUCUUUUCCAUUCAUCGUAGCUAGAAAAAGUAUUAUUUCAUAAAUCAUAUUAAUAAGAGGUUUUUACUGUUGCAGAUGACACUAUAUGGUCAGGCAUAUGCACACUUGCAACUUAUUUAGGUGUUUCUCUCUCUCAUGCACACAUACACUUGCAUUUAUGCUAUUGUUUAUUUUUUCUUUAUUGUGUUUUUGUUUCUGUUUGAGAUGAGGUCUCAUUCUGUUGUUCAGGCUGGAGUGCAGUGGUGCCAUCACGGCUCAUCACUGCCUUGACCUCCUAGGCUCACACUGUCCUCCUGCCUCAGCUUACUGAGUACCUGGGACUACAGGCAUGUACCACCACACCUGGCUAAUUUUUAGUUUUUGUAGAGACAAGGUCUCUCCAAAAGGCCAUGUUGCCCAGGCUGAUCUCAAACUCCUGGUCUCAAGCAGUGUUUCCAUCUCAGCCUCCCAAAGUGCCGGGAUCACAAGAAUAAGCCACAGGGUUUGGCCGUUUUUAUUGUUUAAAUCGGACUCUUAAAAUACCUAAAAGAGAUUAUCGACCUUUAUCACUAUGCUCCCAUGUUCCUGAGAUUCUGGUACCACAGACUUGGAGGUCACUUGUUGUAAGCAGUCUCCAAAACAUUUCUACAUAUAUUGUUUAGAAUUAUUCAUUCUACAUAUUAUAGCAAAACAUUCUGUUAACUUAAAAAAAAAUUGCCUUUUGAAAGCCACUCUGUAUAUUUUUAUUGCCUUGUUUAUUCUUGUAAUUAUUUCUGUCUCUGUGUAUCCAUUCUUUGGUUCAUCAAACAAGGAAAGCCUUUCAUAGGGGCUUUUAUUCAGGAACUUAGUGCUAUGUAACCAUGAAGAAAGGGUUGAACAAAUAAUGCACAUUGAAUGAAUAAAUGUGUGAACAAUAAGUAAAUCAGAACCAAGGAAAUAUGUAGCAAUUGAACUUCUGCCUUUUAAGCCAAUUUACUUGAAUUCCAUUGUUUUUGUUUCUUGGAAAGCUUGUAUGGCUGACUGUAUAGUAGACCUGCCUUAUUUUUCUGGAUCAGCAGCCAGCAUUCAAAGGUAACUCUGAAGAUUGAUUAAUACAUCUCUUUAUGAUCUAAAUUACCCAUUGUAAAAAAAAGACUGUGACUGUGUGAAUCAGAGUGAUAUGUAUGAGACUAAGACUUCAUUUAAAGUGUGAGAAAGUCCCUUCUUCAUUAGCACAGAGCUCCAAAUGGGGACAUUCCCAGGUGGAUAUCCCACUCCUUUCUCACCAAAAGCUCAGAUAAUUUCUCCCAGUACCUGGGCCACUGAGAAGUUUCCCAUGGCAGCAGGUCACACCCCCCGUCUCCUGAAAUGUGCCUCUUGUGUGGCUAUGACUACAUAGGCCAGGAACAACUCUCUAGUUAUGCUGAGCCAGAGGCAAACAUUGAAAAAGACUAUUCAGGCUAAAACUAAGUGCAGGACUGAGCUGCUUUACAGAAUGUUUGGGCUGGGGUGGAAGCUAACUCUCCCAGCAUUUUAUCCAUAGUAACUGUAACCAUUAAUACAUCAUGCAUAGACAUGCAGACAGGGGCCUGCAUAACUAACACAGGGUUACCUACUUUUCAUUUUACUAAGAACAUUGCCAUUUAACCAUCAAAUGGUUAAAUACUACGACCUGUUUUCAUUAUCAUUUCACAAGGAAAAAGAAACGUUAACACCAAAAAGGCAGAAAGGACAUAAACUCAGAAUGGUUCUUGACAAUAAUCUGUGUUUAUGCUGACACAAAGUGCAGCUCCCUGGUUUAUAAUAUUGUGCUGUUUUUAUUUAGCCGUGAACCGGUGAGAACUUUGUGAUGAUCUAGCCCUUUGUGUGUGAACAGAUAUUUACGGAUUUCUGUUAUAGUGCAAAGAGCUCAACACAUACAGUCUGAUGGUACUGGGUUUGAAUUUCUAACUCUGUUACCUGCUAAUUCUGUGAUCAGGAGAACGUACUUUGAGCUCUGAGCUCUGGUUUUUCUUAUCUGGAAAACAGUGGUCAUGAGGAAAAGAGAAUUUACACACACACACACGCAGCACACACGUACCUGGCACAUGUAGCACCAAGAGCAGGCUCAAACCAGCAGACUUUGUUAUUUAUUUUGGCCCCAAAACUAUUAACUCUGACUUGUCAGUAUAAGGUUGAGUGAUCUUUGUGGUUUGAUCUGGGAUCCUAAGUCAUUAAGGAGUUUAAUCUUUAAUCUUUAAACUUACUUUACAAGAUAAUGUUUGCAGUAGUAGGCAAGGUUGAGAAGAGGUGAAAAGGAGGGGUAAAAAUGUUGGAGGUAGUUCAGAGAACCGAGUCAGCGAGGGAGUAAGAUGAAGAAGUCUGCUGGUGUGGUGAGGAUUUUACUGAGAGAAUAACAGAAAAAGAGAUUAUGUGAUAGGAUGAAGAUCACAGGCGUUCUAACUAACAAUAAAUAAAUGGUGAAGAGAAUUGAAGAAUAAACAUAAGUGGUGGAUGGGAAGGCCCAUUGGAUUUGGAUUCAGAGGACAUGAAAUACAGCUUCAGAUGGACCACGGUAGCCGUGUGAUCUUGAGUGAAUCAUGUAACCUCUCAGAGACACAAUGUUCAGUGAAAUACCUACUUCUCAAGAUUGUUGAAAAGGUAGAUGGGACAGUGAGAGAGUAUGAGAAAACACUGAGCAUGAUUCCUGGCACAUGAGCCAGCCAUCAAUAAAUAGAAGCUCAAUUUCAAUGUUAAGGAAAGAAAUACAAUUUUUAUUGAGAAUCAACUAUAUCUUGAGUAUCUGCUAAAAUCAUUGCAUAUAUCCCGUCAUCACUGAGGCCUUGUUUGUGAAACCUAAAUACCAAACUAGAAAUAAUGAUCUGUAAUUAUGUUUAUUUCCUUUAUGGGCCUUUGUUUCAUCAUUUAAUAUUGAUUCAAGGUAUCCACAUUUAAUAUAUAUUAAAUAAAUCAUUGCCUACAACAGAUAUCUGAUGUCAUUUUUCAGGUUUGUUAUCUUACUCUCCACAUCUCAUUUGUAUUCUAAGGACUCAGGGACUGUUUUGGUAAAGUGCCUGCAUUUUUGUUUAACCUAAUCUGUGUGCUUAGAACUUAGAUGGCAUUUUUGGUGUUUUGACUGUGCUAAUUUCAGUUGUAUGGCAAUGGCAUACCUGAGUCCAUUCUACCCUCUUGGAAGCACUAAAUGGGGAGCUGAGCCUGCUAAAAGAUGCUUAAAGAGAAUGCAAGAAAGGACGGCAAAAAGGGGAAUUUGCUGAUAAAGUCUUUCUAAGAUGGUAUCAGGAAGUUUCCUCAAAGUGACCUUUCCAGUGUGGGUCAGGAGGGACAAUGAAAUAGAAAUCUGAAAUUCCAUUUUGAAGUUAAUGAUCAACUUUCAGCCAGAAAUCACAUGACUUUCAUGAAGGAAGCGGCCUUUGUGAUCUACACUAGAGAAGGGCAGUUGGGAGAGUGAUCAGGAAGGAAGAGAAGGCAGGAGAGGCGGAAGCUGCCAUGGGCAAUCCCAGAAGAGGAAUAGGAUAUUGCAAUAAUUUUUCAAAAUUUGCGUUUGUAUGGUCUCCUGUCUUCUGGAGCCCUAUCUUCAACGGCUGCCAAAGUUGAAGAACAAAGAGAGUCCUUGAAGCUUCCCUUCAAUUGAUCAUCUUCUUCCCUUUCUUUCUCCUUCAAACACUGUUCCAAGUCAUUAUGAUGGCCCCAAUGCAAAGACAGCCAUGGAAGUGAACAUUGGAGUGGAAGGAAUGAUGGUAAGAAAUUCUGGGGCCAGUAGAGAGAAAAUAUUCUCAUCUCCAGGACUCUAAAGAGUAUUUAAGUUCCAUUUUCAGAAGCACAUGGAAGUAACUAACUGCGUGUAGGGUGUAAUCUAGAUACUUCUAGAAGGUUCCAGUAUCUGCUUUUCUAACACAUAAAUGCAGUCAAUCCCAGUGUUCCUAAGUGCAACAUUUCAAUUAUCAAGUGCAAACAUUUCGAAGAGGCAUAGCAAUUUAUGUUCUCAUAAGUCAUUUACCUAUUAGUGUGACUAAGCUUCACCUCAGAGUCAGUACCAGGUAACAUCUUUGACCUUUCCAGGUAGAGAAUUAGUCAAUGUCUGGCAGUUUCUUACUAUGAUUUCCUAUCUCUGAUUUUUCUUUCUUCAAGGGGAGCAAAGGUCUGCUUUCUUUCUAUCAUUCUUGUAUCAACUCUAAAUUCAAAUCGUUGAAAUCUAAAAAUAUCGCAUCAAAGCAAGUGAGUGACCAAGCAAAUAAAAUGAGAGACCCUAUCAGAGAAAUACACAAGGCAAAGCAUCCUCGAUUCAAUAAGUUAUGGGGAAAAUAAGCCAUUUCACCAUAACAUGUCCAUGUGACAUACUACAUGUCUGUUAUGUGCUCACUGUCUUUUACCAGUGGAAUGUAAGUCCCAUACUGGUAAGAACUCUAAUUCUGUUUGCAUAAAACAGUGCCUAGCACAAAAUAAACAGUCGUUGAAUAAAUGAAUGUAUGAAUGAGUGAUUAACUGAAUGAUUAAAGACAGAAAGAAGAAAAACAAGAUUGUCCUCAGAGAGAGAAAUUUUAAAUCAACCCAUAUAAUGGAUAAAAUGAAGGUGCACAGCAUCACCCUAAGAAACUGAAACCUUUAUUAAACCCACAUUAUAUGCCAGGCAUGUAGCCAACUACCGUAUGUACACUUUUCACACAACUUUAUGACAUGCAGUUUUUCACGUGAAGAAAUGUGCUCAUGAAAGAUAAAUGAUUGUUAAUUUCACAUAGAUAUUAAGGUGGAGACUCCCAGAUUUUCACCCAGCUCUGUUAGACGUUGAAGUCUGUGUUCUUAAUAGUUACAGGAAGCGUAUGUUGCUGCCUUUGUGGAGCAGUGCCUUGGAAACAUGGUAUCUUGAGUUGGCUGGCAGGGAGAUCCCUAGGCUGAUUCCAGUUGCCCAGCUGCUCCCUGGCAUGCCCAUGUGUCUGGCCUGAGCAGAAGUUGGGCCAGCCAGACUGCACAAGCUCCCUGGCUGGUGAUGACGUUUCUCACUACAAAUGAUUCCUUUGUUCCUCUGGUUUCUGUAUUUCAAUCUUCAGAGGAUUUAACUUUCAUAAAUGUUUAACUUUCUGGAUUUCUAAAGAGUUCGGUUACAACCUGGUAGAUUUUUCAGAGUAAGGGAUGCUUCCCAGUGAGGCAGGAUUCUGAGUGAUCAGUUACCAGCUAAGUUUUAUUCUAUAUCUAGCCUUCCCAUGGCCCUUCUUUCAAAUGACAUAUGUAUAUAUAUAUGCCACUUUAAAUGGCUGACUCUAAAAAAAGUUUAUUUAUAUAACUCAUAAAUCAUAUCAUAUUCUAUUUUAUAAUGGUAUUUGUUAAGUUUAGAAAUUUAUGACUAGAAUGCAUAAUAACAUGAACCAUAUUCUGAAUUUCUAGAGCACAGAUAUCCUGGAAUCAGAUGGAAUAGAAAUAGAGGAAAGAAAAAAGUGUAUUUAAAACCAAAGACUACCCGCAGAAUCUCAUAUGGAAAAUAAGUGAAUGAUCUUACCUCAUUUGUGAGAAUGAGAAGCUCAGAGAGGACCUGGCAAGCUUAUAUCCAGAAGCUAACUGGUUUAUUUUCACCAAGAACAAAAAAAGAAAGAAAAAAGGAAGGGAAGGGAAGAAAAGAAAAAAGAAAAAAUAUAUACUUAUACUAUAGGUAAUUUUGGUUAGAGUGGAGGAAGCAAACAGCCUUCUGAUUCAGCAAUUAUUAGCAUUAAAAUGGGCUAUUAAAGAAGGUUGUGAAAUUGUCUUCAGCAGUCUUUGAGUAUAGGACAGAGCAUCAUGCUUUUAGAAAAGAUUGGGUUAAGUGAGGUUUUGCCUGUCUGGUCAGGCUUGGGGUAUGUGCAAAGAACUUAGAUUAGAUUACUGUCCCAAAUUUUAUUCAUAUAUAUAUGAAUAUACAUAUAUAUAAUUUAUAAAUAAUUAUCGAUAAAAUUUAUAUAUAGAAUAAGCAAAAUACUUUCAUAUUUUUAAUAAAUAUUUAUUAGGUAUCAAUUAUUUGUUAGGCACCAGGAAUACAGAGAUAUGAGACACAGUUUUAACACCCUGGGAGCCCAAAAUUUACUGCUGCAAUGAAAUUGAACUUGCAGUAAAAUCUUAGAUCAAGAUCGAUGGAAUCUUAGUGACAAAAAAUGUGGUUUUACAUUGCAAGUUGGUAGAAUCCUUCUUAAAAAAAUUAUAAAUGAUUUAGCAAUGUGUAAAAUAUUAAAAGGGCAAUUUUAGCCAAAAAAGCAAAUGAAAAUUAUACAACAUUGGAUUCAAUAUCUGCUAAAGGGAAGUAUAUAUGUAAAAAAAAAAAAAAAAGGAAAAGGAAACCUGGGACAAGGAAAACAGUAGUAUGAGGGUGGUAGGGCCUUACGCCUAACAGUUCUUACAAAAUUUCCUUUAACACUGCCAUGCAUUUUUUAAAAACAGUAAGUGAAAGUGUGAAAGAAAGACUAUAUCAAUGUACCUUUAUAUUUGUGUUUGAGAAAACAGAAGACAUAUAUGAUGAACUCAGUGGCCUAUUUAACUCAUUCAUUUGUUUGGCUGUGAUUCUUCUAUUUACUCAGUCUAGAACUCUUGUAUUUAUUCUGUGCUUAGUGCUGGAGGUAUAAAAGGCAAAUAAAAACCCGUCCUUGCCCAUCACAGUCUUAGACUCUCCAGAGAGAGGCUCAGAUAUAAACUCAAAAUAUCUUAUAGUGUAAUUAUUGAAAUAAGAAAGGUAUUUAAAGGUCCAAAUGAGAGCAGAAGAGGGAAAGCUCAUCUCUGCCUGGGCAGCUGAGAAUGAGAGUAAAAUGGAGGAAAGGAGGGGCCGUGGUGGGCUUUCCAUGGGGAUGGGGCUUUAGUUGAGGGCUGAUUGCCAAUGGAGUUAGAGCUCACCUGCAAGAAGGGUGAAGUGAGAAGGAAGGAGAGUGACAGGUAGUGGGGAGGGGGAAAUUCCUAGCAGAGGAAGUGAUUAGAUGAGGAGCUGUUAAGAGCAUUUGUUCUUAGAAAACUGAAGAGAUUUCUAUGUACAAGGCAGGGUGGGGGCAGCCAACAGGAGGUGGGCAGAAAAGAAAAGCAGAGACGGGUCUGUUGGAGAAGGCUCUCACCCAUAAUUUCAGGUAUUGACACAGAAAAGCAGAGGCCAGGAGUUGUUUGCUGGGUAAACCUUGGUCAAAGGGGAAAGCCAGAGAGCAAUUUCCAGCCCAAGCUGCUGAUCCAAAGGGCAGGACUGAAAUGAGGCUCCUGGUGCAGAGCUGGAAUACGGCUGGCAAAACAGAGAAGGCAGAAGAUGGGCAGAAUGGCAUGGAACAAGUCCGGAGCAGCCACAGUGCAGCAGAGGCUUUGAGGGCUGCUGGGGUUUUAUUUAAAGGGCCUGGAGAGGAGUGUGCUGGGCAACGUCACAGGCACCUUAUGUGCCAGGCUAAGGCAUCUAGACAUUAAUGGCCUGUGAUGGGAAACCACUGGAGAGUUUCUUCCCCAGCAAUGACAUGAUGAGGUUUGCAGUUACACAAAGAUUGCUCUGAAGGGAGCAUUCGGCAUGAAUUGGAGAGGAGUGAGGAUGGAGGCUGCCGGGGGCGCCGAGGGGAGGGUUGUAGGAGGUCCAGUCAGAGGGCUUACCACUAUGUUUAUCUUAGGUCAUGAACUGUGAGAGACAAGCUGUCAGGAUAAAUAGCAUUUUGUUUAUUCUUAUUAAAUCUCUGGCCUGUAUUGCAAUGAUCACCAAUGUGAGCUUUCGAGAUUGGGUAGUAAAUGUGUUUAUAGCUGCCUCUGUGGAGGGAGGGAGGUCAAAAGUCUCAUUAGAGCACAUUCCACUUGCCCAAUCAUUUUAGUGAGUCAAUUUGCUAAAUUAUAGACUUAUUUCAGUAUACAAAUCAGCAAUUCUGGAAGCUGGUAGUUUGCCUGGCAGCUUCUUUUGAACAUGUCCAUUUUUUCCUUUAGAAUUUGUCUACAGGUAGGCUGGGCGUGAUGGCUCACACCUGAAAUCCCAGCAUUUUGGAGGCCAAGGCGGGUAGAUCACCUGAGUUAAGGAGUUCAAAACCAGCCUUACCAACAUGGUGAAACCCCAUCUCUUCUAAAAAAUAUAAAAAUUAGCUGGGCAUGGUGGUGGGCAUGUGAAAUCCCAGCUACUACUUGGGAAGCCAAAGCAGGAGAAUCCCUUGAACCCAGGAGGCAGAAGUUGCAGUGAGCUGAGAUUGCACUCCACUGAGAUUGCUCUCCACUGAGAUCGCUCUCCACUGAGAUCGCACUCCACUGAGAUCGCUCUCCACUGAGAUCGCUCUCCACUGAGAUCGCUCUCCACUGAGAUCGCACUCCACUGAGAUCGCACUCCACUGAGAUCGCUCUCCACUGAGAUCGCACUCCACUGAGAUCGCUCUCCACUGAGAUGGCACUCCACUGAGAUUGCACUCCACUGAGAUUGCUCUCCACUGAGAUCGCACUCCACUGAGAUCGCUCUCCACUGAGAUUGCUCUCCACUGAGAUUGCUCUCCACUGACAUUGCACUCCACUGAGAUCGCACUCCACUGAGAUCGCACUCCACUGAGAUUGCACUCCACUGACAUUGCACUCCACUGAGAUUGCUCUCCACUGAGAUUGCUCUCCACUGAGAUUGCACUCCACUGAGAUCGCUCUCCACUGAGAUCGCACUCCACUGAGAUCGCUCUCCACUGAGAUCGCACUCCACUGAGAUCGCUCUCCACUGAGAUGGCACUCCACUGAGAUCGCUCUCCACUGAGAUUGCUCUCCACUGAGAUUGCUCUCCACUGAGAUUGCUCUCCACUGAGAUGGCACUCCACUGAGAUUGCUCUCCACUGAGAUUGCACUCCACUGAGAUUGCUCUCCAUUGAGAUGGCACUCCAGAGAUUGCACUCCACUGAGAUUGCUCUCCACUGAGAUGGCACUCCACUGAGAUUGCUCUCCACUGAGAUUGCACUCCACUGAGAUUGCUCUCCACUGAGAUGGCACUCCACUGAGAUUGCACUCCACUGAGAUUGCUCUCCACUGAGAUUGCACUCCACUGAGAUUGCUCUCCACUGAGAUUGCUCUCCACUGAGAUGUCACUCCACUGAGAUGGCACUCCGCUGAGAUUGCUCUCCAUUGAGAUGGCACUCCAGAGAUUGCACUCCACUGAGAUUGCUCUCCACUGAGAUUGCGCUCCACUGAGAUUGCUCUCCACUGAGAUUGCAUUCCACUGAGAUUGCUCUCCACUGAGAUUGCUCUCCACUGAGAUUGCACUCCACUGAGAUGGCACCCCAGAGAUUGCACUCCACUGAGAUUGCUCUCCACUGAGAUUGCACUCCACUGAGAUUGCACUCCACUGAGAUUGCACUCCACUGAGAUUGCUCUCCACUGAGAUGGCACUCCAGAGAUUGCACUCCACUGAGAUCGCUCUCCACUGAGAUCGCAGUCCACUGAGAUCGCACUCCACUGAGAUCGCUCUCCACUGAGAUUGCUCUCCACUGAGAUUGCACUCCACUGAGAUUGCUCUCCACUGAGAUUGCUCUCCACUGAGAUUGCACUCCACUGAGAUUGCUCUCCACUGAGAUUGCUCUCCACUGAGAUUGCACUCCACUGAGAUUGCUCUCCACUGAGAUUGCACUCCAGCUUAGGCCAUAGACUGAGACUCCAUUGCAAAAAAAAAAAAAAAAAAAAAGAAAAAAGAAUUUGUCUAUAGGUAAAAUCAGUUUAACUAUUGUGAAAGAUCUACCAUAUGCCCAGUGCUAUGGUCUGAAUGUUUGUGUCCCCCAUAAAUUCAUAUGUUGAAAUUCUCACCCCCAAGGUGCUAGCACUAGUAGGAGGGGCCUUUGGGAAGUGAUUAGAUUUUGAGGGUGCAGCCCUCACGAUUGUAGUAAGUGUCCUUGUUAAAGAGGCUCCAGAGAGAUGCCUUGCCCCUUCCAGCAAGCAAGGACAAAGCAGACAGGCACCAUCUAUGUAUCAGGAAAAGCUCCCUUAAUCUUGGGGGUCCCAGGCUCCAGAACUGUGAGAAAUAAAUCUUUGUUGUUUAUGGGCCACCUGGUUUAAGGUAUUUUGUUAUAGCGGCCCAAAUAAACCUGGAGCAUAUUGUGGGGCCAGGUAGUAAAAUGAUGAAGGAAUGUUUAAAGGACACUAGCCAGCUUGUUGGAGCCUUCUCUGGCCUAAUCUAAGACACUCUGAGCAUCAAAAUCCAUAAUGACAGUAAUGGGUUGUGUGUGGUCCAUUGAAUGAAAUAAAAACUCAUGAAUCUAUACUGAUAUAAACAAGCGAUAAUGGGGAGAAGAGAAAGCUCUUCCUUAUGGUAAAAAGCUAACUGAUAAAUAAAUGUAGAAAGGAUAUGGCUUUAGAAAACAUGCAUUUGGUCAGUAGGGAAAUGCAAAUCAAAACCACAGUGAGAUAUCGUCUCACCCCAGUAAAAAUGGCCGUUUUCAGAAAGACAAAAGUAACGGAUACUUGUGAGGAUGCAGAGAAAGGGAUAUGCUAAUACACUGUUGGUGGGAAUGUAAUUUGGUAUGGCCACUAUGGAAAAUAGUAUGACUGUUUCUCAAAAAACUAAAAAUAGAUCUGACAUGUGAUCCAGCAAUCCCACUGCUGGGUAAAUAUCCAAAAGAAAGAAAACUCAUAUGUUAAAGGGGUGUCUUCAUGUCUAUGUGUGUUGUGACUAUUCACAAUAGCCAACAUACGGAAUCAACCAAAGUGUCCAUCUUUUUUUUUAAAGAUGGGGUUUCACCAUGUUGGUCAGGCUGAUAUCUAACUCUUGACCUCAGGUGAUCCGCCCACCUCAGGCUCCCAAAGUGCUGGGAUUACAGGUGUGAGCCACCGCACCCAGCUUCAAAGUGUCCAUCAAUGGAUGAAUGGAUAAAGAAAUGUGGCAUGUAUACACAAUGGAAUACUAUUCGGGUGUAAAAAUGAAUGAAAUCUUGUUAUUUGUAGCAAUAUGGUUGGAACUGGACCAGGUCAUUAUGUUAAGUGAAAUGAACCAGGCACAGAAAGACAAAUAUUACCUGUUCUCACUCUAUAAGCAGGAACUAAAAAAACCCUGAUCUCACAGAGGCAGAGAGUAGAACGAUUAUUACCUGAGGUUAGGAAGUGUUGGGGCAGAGGCGAUGAAGAGAUGUUGAUUAAUGUACAAAAAUAGAGUUCGAUAGAAGGAAUAAAUUCUAGUGCUCAAUAACACAGUAUGAUGACUACAGUUAACAGUGAUUUAUUGUACAUUUCAAAAUAGUUAGAAUAGAAGAUUUCAAAUAUUCCCAGCACAAAGAAAUGAUGAAAUUUUGAGAGAUGGAUAUGUUAAUUACCCUGACGAUCAUUACCUAUUUUAUGCAUAUAUCAGCAUAUCACAUGUACCCCACAAAUAUGUACGAUCAUUAUGUAUCAAUAAAAUAAUACAUUUAGAAACCA